GCCGCAAACUGUUCCAGAACUUGCGUCAACAUCGUUUGUUUCCAUUAUAACUUCCAUGUGUCGUCGCACCAAUCCGUUGUUUCGUUUAAGAUCCUCGAAGAUUACGUUUGCGAUGCAGUUUAAACUGGUCGUUGCGUCGCUCCUUUCCUCGGAUUAUUUAAGACCGCGAAAGUGUUUCUUCAUUUGGAUACCUUGUGCUGUUAAGAUAGCCGGAGGUUGCAGCAAUUCUCGUAGGAUGGUUUCCAGCCCUGAAAUUUCACUUCAGCUCGGUGAAAAGGAAUACGCGUUCCUUGUUAGACCGCUUUGGAAGGAGAAGGUACGAUUCGGGGAACGAGGAAAGGGGCAAAGGGCGUCGUAAGAAUGAUCGAUUCGUUUAACCCCCGCCGAUCUCGGGAAGCAGAGCGUAUUGGUCUAUAUCCGAUAAACCGUAAUUUCACUUUCGGGCCUGCGAGCUCGGGAGAGCUCGGCUGGCAAAGAUGGCUCGAUAAAAGCGGAAGCAAGCGGCCGAGCACAAGAAAAUCCACUGGAACGUGUCGAGUUCUAAACGCGGAUUACGACUGGCGAGUACGCGGAGACGGUCGCGCGUGAAAUACACGCGAAAAACUGACCGAGUGGCAGCCAGAUAUCGUUUCUGGAUAAAGAAAUUGCUCAGGAAAGCGUUAUGGCUUGUAGACGACUUGGACAUUUUUCUAUAUAUUCUACGUGGCAUCAUCUAUUAUUUCCCUCCUCUGUGCUGUUUUGAAUUUCCUGCGAUAAUUUUUCGGAUACCCAUACUCCUAAGAUCAGAAACUGAAAUUUUGUGAACGCUUCGAGGUUUGUAACUUCGAAGCUGCCGCCGGCAUUUGUCGUUAAGCCGUAAAUGCGACACCAACGUGGUGCUACAGGCUAGUCUCCGACGCCGGAAGACCUUCAGGCAUUCGUAAGUUCAAAAUUCGUAGGUUCAAAGCAUUGUUUGUGAUUAAUUUCUCAAGCUACGAAAUGAUCGCUACAUUUCACCGAAAUUAACAAUAGUUAGUCUUCGAAUAGCUGUAACGUAACAGAAAAAAGAUUGUACAGCAGUCUAUUUAUGGUUGUCCUAAAGGGGAAACUUCACUCUUCAAAACCACUUUCAAAUGAACUCCGAAAAAUAUUGGUCAGACCCAGAAUUAUUCGAAUUUGCAAUACUUGUUAGAACAAACUACCUAAAUCUCUGUCUUUUCAUAUCGAAAGACCUACGUACAAAUUUAAUUUGUGGGUGUUAAAGUAAAAAAGAUAAAAAAAUAAAAACCUUACUCUCUAGAA